GACGAACGCUGGCGGCGUGCUUAACACAUGCAAGUCGAACGGAAAGGCCCUGCGUUUGUGGGGUGCUCGAGUGGCGAACGGGUGAGUAACACGUGAGUAACCUGCCCUUGACUUUGGGAUAACUUCAGGAAACUGGGGCGAAUACCGGAUAGGAGCUCCUGCUGCAUGGGGGGGGUUGGAAAGUUUCGGCGGUUGGGGAUGGACUCGCGGCUUAUCGGCUGGUUGGGGGGGUAGUGGCUUACCAAGGGUUUGACGGGUAGCCCGCCUGGGAGGGUGGACGGGGACCUUGGGCCUACGGUAGGGACCUGUCUCGUACGGGCGGCAGUGGUGGGGAACCUUACACAACGGGCGCAAGCCUGUUGCAGCGACGCCCCGUUCGUGAUGACCGCCUUCUGGUUAUAAACCGCUUUCGCCUGUGCCGAGGCGUUAGUGACGGUAAUGAGUAAAGAAGCACCGGCUAACUACGUG
rnacentral:rRNA from 1 species